rfam:Schistosoma mansoni strain Puerto Rico chromosome 4, complete genome
AUCCAGCUGACGAGUCCAAAAUAGGACGAAACGUGCGUCCUGGAU